GCGGAGAUGGCGGAAUUGGCAGACGCGCAGGUCUUAGGAACCUGUGGGCAACCGUGCGGGUUCGAGCCCCGCUCUCCGCACCA
rnacentral:tRNA from 1 species